AGAAUGGGGUUGAGCCAAGGAUGACUUGCCGGGUUAAACACAACCGGUUUAUGACCAUUAGUUUGGUCCCGAACACGAGUUGAUUUGUGUCUGGCAAGUUGACCUUGGCUCUGUUUCGUUCUCU
rnacentral:pre_miRNA from 1 species